GGCGGUUUGACCGAGUGGUUAAGGUGUUGGUCUCGAAAGCCAAUGCUCUUUGAGCGCGCAGGUUCGAAUCCUGCAGCCGUCG
rnacentral:tRNA from 1 species